ACUGAAAUGAGAGAAUGGAGGCAAAACAAUAACAGCACGAGAUAAGUAUCAUGUGAUCCAUGCGAGUUUUUUGUGUGAUAAUCAAUGGAAAACAACAACAACUAUUUCUAAUUAGCGCUCGCAGUCACGUUUGGCCAUCUAGCGGGAACGUGAGAGCCACUCCAGUGGGGUAUACAAUUGCAAGUCGUAGUAAAAUAGUUCCAGACAAAACGGAAGAGAAACGUUGAAAACGGACGCACCAGACAAUGGGAACAAGAAUUUGUUUUUCGUCUAAUUGUUUUCUUUUACGAUAACAGGACAAAUCCCGCACACGUCCUUUGAAACUUUCAUUCACUACCCGCAUACAAAUCCCUCGCUAUCGUGAACACAUAUACACUAUGUGAAUAACUGUACUUUCUAUAUUUGUUCAUUUUAUGAACAACAAUAAUAAUUGGUGAGAAACAAACGAAAGUCAUAGCUUACCUACGUAUUUCUGUUUCUUUUUGCUAUUAUUUCGAUAUCAGCAAAACUGGCUGCGCACAAGACCGGUUUUGAUUUUCCUUUGUUACUUCUUCAUCUUGAUCCACCUGGAAUAUAUAUACAUAUAUAUUUUUUUUAGACAAAGAAGAUAACAAAAAAAAGUUGGUGA